CGUCUUUGAAUCUCAGCCUCAAGCCACGUUUUCCUGAAUUUCUGAGAGUACUCCUUGAAGCAUGUUACAGAAAAGUCUAGAAUGUGCCCCUGGUCUCCUUUCUCUUCUGCAGGCGAGAAGCCCUCUCCGUGUCCCUGUGAACCCCAGGGAGAUGCAUCGGAGGGACCCGGCUUCCGGAUGUGGGACUGAGGUGGAGCUCACCGCUGUCCACCCAGACGGACUCUAAAUGACU
rnacentral:lncRNA from 1 species